CGUAAAAAGAAAGGCUGCAGUUUUUCUUCAACGGGGCAAGUCGCCUUCUCCUGGAUGAACCAGGCACGCGCCGCGCUGACAGAGCGCCGCGCGCGCCUGGAAUUCGCGGCGUUCACGAGGAUGGCGUCAAAGAUCUGCAGUUUUGGAGCCUUUUAUUGAAGUAAAUGCAGGAGGAACUUGGAAAAACCAGAUGUUAACAUUAUCAGCUCUUUUUGUUCACAUAGUAUAAUAAAACAUUAAAAAUAUGA